rfam:Tannerella sp. CAG:51 genomic scaffold, scf19
GUUGUGAUUUGCUUUCAUUUUAGUAUCUUUGAAGUAUCGGAAACAUC